CACAAGUGAUGGUGAAAAAAGGAUACUGAUGGACGGAUUGUAUUAUUGGACUCUCCAGAAAGAACACAGUCUGUCACAGUUGAUGAAGAUGAUGAUGACGAUGAAGAGACCACAUCUGCUGUGACAGAAGUGGACAAUGCUGGUAGAUCCACUGAGUACAUACCUAGGGAUUUGCCCACAGAUGAGGGUCCUUCAGCCUCAGCACACAAUCUAAGCAGGUUGCCAGCAAAGGAGCUGUAUAAGGUCCAUCUUCAAA